GUUGUUUCGCACACAGAAACCUGGUGCAAAUGCGUACAGAAAAGGAAAAACACACAACUACUUAAACCGCUAAAUGAAUAUGUUAGCUUAUUGUCAAUCUGCUGAAAAUAGACCAGCACAUAAUACUUUUUGUUUUGAAAUCUGCUACUACCUCACGAUAGAAAUCGUUUCUAUGUUUACCUGAUCAGCAUUUGACUACACAGGCUGCUACAUGAGACAGUCAGACAAUUAAACUAUGUAACAACAUGCUGAAAUGGUACAGACAUACUAUAGAAUACAAUGACACAUAUAGGCAAUGGUGAAAACAUUACAAGGACACAGUCAAUUUGAAGGAAUACAGUAAUGCAUAUCUGUAAUAAGAGUAUAUUGCAUUGUAAGGUGUUGAGGCACAAAAAUAUAGAAAAUUGUAAAAUAAACAAUCUAGUGUAUAUACAGUGAAAGCUGUACUAAGCAACUACAUGGGGACCCGGGAAUACAUGAAGUGGUCGCUUACAGCAGUUAGGACAGGUGUACAGUAAGGAAGCCUUGCACCUCCACACACCUUUAUCCCUGAAUGCCAAACCCAACAUACGGGACUUCCCACUCUGUUGUGUCCACACAACCCUUAUUUCAUGUGCUGCAAAUGAUUUCCUAUGGCUGCCAGCUGACGUUCCUUUCUAAGACAGCCAAAUGACUUUCACUUGGUCAGCCAAUCGCACCCCGCUCCCUUUAUGCAACUCCCUUUAUAGACUUCCGACCGAGCUAAGUGAGAUUAACACAGUACUUUAUGAAGCAUUAAGCGUCCUAACCGUACACCUAUAUGAGAAUAUUUGCGAAAUGAGACUAAUUGGGUAUGAAAUGGCAACAGCUCUUUGCAAAUGCAUGUGUGUCGGUGACACCUCUGGGCGGUGUUAGCAAAAUAUACCUAUCUUGUGGUCACUGUGAACAGGUGUUACUUGCUGUUGGGCAAUUGAAUUAGUUUUAACGUUUAGAGACCUAACUGCUCUACUAUUGGAGCGUACUCACUCGAGGUAUUGUUACGAUUGGCUUUAUUUUCUCCGCAGCCCGAUCGUCUACGCCCACCUCAGUAUUUGCAGAAGGAUUACGGCAUCUUGCUUAUUUCCAAAAUUCGCAAAAAACCUACGUGUUUAUCCAAUGUUUAGAAUAUUUUCGGUACACGUCAAAUAAUUUUUCAAGCCACGCCACAAGUUUUUUACAGUAGGGUGUUGUUCGAUGCCAUGGUUAUAUCGCGCGUUAGAAUGACGUACGAUAUUGGAGCAGACGGCUUGAAACGCAUUUCUUCGCUGUUGUCUAUGUAAAAGAUAGAAAUAUGUCGUCAGGGCUGGUGCAGUUUCGACUCCUGUGUAUCCAGUAAUCCAGACACUUCAUCGUUUAUACGACUAUGCGAAUACGAUUCAAGCAGGAUGUUUGCAACUGCCGUUUAUCAGAUCUUUCUCACGCCUUUACGUGUUGACAAAUGCAACUAAAAGGAGAGUAACUAGGUAAAAUGAUGUUUUGCUUACCUCCUUGUAAAUGGAAACAUGAUGUUUUCAGAAACAGUUUACUUCUAUGAAACAUACUUGGCUAUUAUCCGACUUUCUACGAAUUGUGGAUGGUUACAGCUCAUUGUCAAUUUGUUGACCUAUGUUUUCCAUAUUGUUUGAAUC